AUUGAACGCUGGCGGCAGGCCUAACACAUGCAAGUCGGGCGGAUGAAGGGAGCUUGCUCCCUGAUUUAGCGGCGGACGGGUGAGUAAUGCCUAGGAAUCUGCCUGGUAGCGGGGGAUAACGUUCCGAAAGGAACGCUAAUACCGCAUACGUCCUACGGGAGAAAGCAGGGGACCUUCGGGCCUUGCGCUAUCAGAUGAGCCUAGGUCGGAUUAGCUAGUUGGUGAGGUAAUGGCUCACCAAGGCGACGAUCCGUAACUGGUCUGAGAGGAUGAUCAGUCACACUGGAACUGAGACACGGUCCAGACUCCUACGGGAGGCAGCAGUGGGGAAUAUUGGACAAUGGGCGAAAGCCUGAUCCAGCCAUGCCGCGUGUGUGAAGAAGGUCUUCGGAUUGUAAAGCACUUUAAGUUGGGAGGAAGGGCAUUAACCUAAUACGUUAGUGUUUUGACGUUACCGACAGAAUAAGCACCGGCUAACUUCGUGCCAGCAGCCGCGGUAAUACGAAGGGUGCAAGCGUUAAUCGGAAUUACUGGGCGUAAAGCGCGCGUAGGUGGUUCGUUAAGUUGGAUGUGAAAGCCCCGGGCUCAACCUGGGAACUGCAUCCAAAACUGGCGAGCUAGAGUACGGUAGAGGGUGGUGGAAUUUCCUGUGUAGCGGUGAAAUGCGUAGAUAUAGGAAGGAACACCAGUGGCGAAGGCGACCACCUGGACUGAUACUGACACUGAGGUGCGAAAGCGUGGGGAGCAAACA
rnacentral:rRNA from 1 species